AACGUAGGUGACAAGCGUUAUCCGGAUUUACUGGGCGUAAAGCGUGUGCAGGUGGGAAGGCAAGUGGUGUAUGAAAGCUCUCAGCUUAACUGAGAGAGGUUAUGCCAGACUGCCCUCCUUGAGGUAGCAAGAGGGACAUGGAAUUCCGGGUGUAGUGGUGAAAUGCGUAGAGAUCCGGAGGAACUCCAGAGGCGAAGGCGGUGUCCUGGUGCCUACCUGACGCUCAGACACGAAAGCAUGGGGAGCGAACGGG
rnacentral:rRNA from 1 species